UGGUACUUUUUAAUCGGCUUGUCUUUUUUUAUUGUUGGCUGUAUUUUAUAGUACUGUUUUAUGUUUUUUAUCUCUAUUAUUGUGCGACUGUUCAGCACUUUGGUCAGCCGUAUGGCUGUGUUUUUAAAGUGUUAUAUAAAUAAAGGUAAAAUGAACCUUUAUGCAGUUAAUGAAAAGUCACUCAGACCCCCACAGACUCGGGAGACCAGAUCCCAACUUGCCAAAUGUGGGACAGAGACACUCGAUGUGGGACAACGUGAAGUUCCAAUGUAAUGAGAAAAAAAACACACGUAUAUUCUGCCUUUUAGCCCUAACACCACUGAUACUAAUACAUCUAAUAAUAUUCUUAUUAUUUAAUAUAUUUCUUGUACAUAUUUUAUUUGAACUCAACAUGAAGAAGCAAACAGCAACAGCGUUACUGUUCCACACUUCCUCUCACGGUACACAACAUGACUCUGUAGUGGCUCUGAUCAUUUUAAUAACACAGAUCGGCCCACAAUAAUAAAACAUGCAGGUUUAAGCAGCUUUUCACAGUUUUCAUUCAAUGUUUUCCACAACAGAACGACAGUAAAAGUACCAGUAAUAUUUUUAGAUCCAUUCAAGUUUGUUUUUCAUUCAUUUCCCACUAAAAUCAGCAUCUCAUUUAAAAAAUAUCCAAACUUUUUUGCUGUUUUUUUUUUUCAUAAUUCAGAAACAAAACAUUUUUUAACCAUGACAAUGAAACUCUUCUAGAUUUUAGGUGAGAGAAUAAAUAAACAUCCGAUUCUAAUCUCUAAAAAAAUCAGAUCUGAUCUGAUAAAAGUUUCUCAGAGUUACUUUCUGCCUCAAAUGUCUGAGAAUACGUGAUGAAAGCUUCCAUCUAGUCUCAUUAUUUCUUCACUGUGCUUUAAGGGCUCAGCGUGUAGCAGGAAUCUGAACCCGCAGCACCGUGUCUGUGUUAGAGCCUCCAUUGUGUUUAUCAUGGACCUGUCUAAUUACUGGAAAAGCUGCUUUUCACCUCUUCAUGUCAGACUCCGCACCGAGACAUGAAGAAUGACUCAGAAACAACAAAGACUCUGUCGAGUGUCUCUGAACACGUUUAAUUCACGAGUUUACAACAUUUUCUCCUCCGUGCUCGCUCACGCGUGUUUUGGUGGUUCGGGCGUGCUCCACGCACGCUCCGGAUCUGCGUUAAAGUCCCGCCUCCGUUUGAUCGACAGCAACAGGCAGAUUUUUCCACCAUUUCUCUUAUAAGAUUGAAACUCGAACCAGGAAACUGUCAGUAAUGCGGGACAUGAGUCUUAAUUUGCGGGACGCGUGAAGAGUCGUGAAAAUGCAGGACAUCUGGUCACCCUACCCACACGUCUUGGCCAGAUUUCUGCAUUUGCAGCUUCUGAGUGCCGGUCCGGUCUGUUGGAUUUAGGAAGCAAAACUGGAGCUGAACUACCUGGGGCGGUCUGCUUCCAGCACAUUUUGUCAUGUAGGGAUGAUUCCCUCCUGCAGACACUAAGGAAGGCUGGGGAGACAUUUCAGCUGUUAGAUUAAAGUGUUUAAAAGGUGUUAAAAACAAGCCAAACGCACCUUGUGUCCCUUUAAUAAAACAAUUCAACUGUAAUUUUUAUUAAACAAUGAUUUUCCGAAUCAGCAUUAAUGACCUUUAUUAAAAAAUGACGAAUGUCUAAUAAAUAAACUCAACAGUCUUCUUAUUUUUGCUCUAAUGUCCUGACGAUGUGAAGAGCUUGUAUCUGUCACAAGCAGACCCAUACCGCCCCAUCCUCUUUGUUUCUUCUUUAGAAAACUAAAACGCUUCCUGCCACACAGAAGGAAUGGAAUGCAGCCUUAGCCUAAGAAACAAACACGUUCAAUGUGUCUGAAUGAGGCUGAAGGGCUCCCCGUGGCCGUGCUAAAUCAUUUUAGAAACGUGAAACUAAUUAUAUUUCAGCGCCAAAGCCACAGUUCUCAUUACUUUUCUAUUACAGUCCCUUCAUGCUGACUUCUAAGAACAUUUUGGACGCGCUAACGAGGAACGCACUUGGACAGGAAAUGAAACGAUGACUAGAACAAGUGGAGAAGGACAGCUUGGACUUUUCUCGGCUCAGAUUCAUCAUUAAGGGAAUGUUUGACACCUGUUAGCUGAGAUCGGGUUUCACGCCGAUACCAGCAGUUUGCUAAACAACCAGGAAAUGGAAAAGUAGCAACAGGAAGGAAAAGGAGUAGCCCGCCUUAAACGGAAGGCAACGAACGCCACGCAGCAGAGCGUUUAAGGGCGCCGCGCUUGCUCUGAUGGCUGCUGUAACGUUGGUGUCUUUGCUCUUACCUCUUCGCCUUCCGACGCUCUCAGUUUCAGCCUCACCAGCUCCUGACCUUGGUCAGUCUGAUUUCAUCUGUCAGAGCGGUUUGAACACAGAGCGCCCGUUCAGACGUUGACUUCUGGACAUUUUAAAGAUGGCGUUCAGCUCCGUCAUCACGUGGACGCGAACUCGCUCAGUCUGUGCGAGCAGAUCUCUCCCCUUCAUCCCUGAAAUGCGAAGGGGCACGGCGGCUCUGGGCGUCAGGGAGCCGUUUCCGUCUGCCAGUCACUCUCCGAGCGCAGCUGUCGGCGUUACACGGAAUAACUGUCAGACUUGUAUUUUCCCAGGGACUUCCUCUGUUCCGUGAGUCAGAUGAAAUUAACCGAGACGUCCAGAACAGUGGCUUGGCCCAGAUUUUUUUGGACCGUAGGAAACAGAACCACCCUCCCUUUCUCGGCCCAAAGACUCCAAGUCGUGGUUGUAAACUCGUGACGCGGCGGUGCUUUUAAGUGGAGCUGGACAAAUUGUCUUUUACUUGGACAAGACUUGGAUUUUGGAAGAUUUAUGAGCUGGAUGUAUGCAGAGCACUGAGCUGGCAGCUCACUGCGUUGCUUCCCCACUGAAAGAGGGAUUUCUGCUGCCUGCAGCCGUUCCCAAACCGUUUCGGAUGCGUUCCUGAGCUGCGAGCCUCCCACCAGCAGAACUAAAGUGACCACUUCAUUGUGAGAAGAUGAGGGAUGGCAUUUAUGGCAUGUCUGCACAAGGUCAAGCACCAGCGCAUGCCUUUGCUCACACAAACUUUUCCCAUCCACUUGGAGAAGAUCCCACUUCUUUGGAAGACGUUUGGAAUGCUCCAUCACAGAAACCUGAGGUGGAUUUUUUCCAGUCGCGCCGUCCGAUUUGAUUUUCAAACCUCCUGAUUUGCAUUUGAGUGCACGCUGCGAUUCAAAUAAAACCUUCAUGACCUGUCGAGA